CAGCCAUUCCGCGUGCAGGACGAAGGCCUUCGGGUUGUAAACUGCUUUUGUACGGAACGAAAAGGCUCUGGUUAAUACCUGGGGCUCAUGACGGUACCGUAAGAAUAAGCACCGGCUAACUACGUGCCAGCAGCCGCGGUAAUACGUAGGGUGCAAGCGUUAAUCGGAAUUACUGGGCGUAAAGCGUGCGCAGGCGGUGAUAUAAGACAGAUGUGAAAUCCCCGGGCUCAACCUGGGAACUGCAUUUGUGACUGCAUCGCUGGAGUGCGGCAGAGGGGGAUGGAAUUCCGCGUGUAGCAGUGAAAUGCGUAGAUAUGCGGAGGAACACCGAUGGCGAAGGCAAUCCCCUGGGCCUGCACUGACGCUCAUGCACGAAAGCGUGGGGAGCAAACAGGAUUAGAUACCCUGGUAGUCCACGCCCUAAACGAUGUCAACUGGUUGUUGGGUCUUCACUGACUCAGUAACGAAGCUAACGCGUGAAGUUGACCGCCUGGGGAGUACGGCCGCAAGGUUGAAACUCAAAGGAUUUGACGGGGACCCGCACAAGCGGUGGAUGAUGUGGUUUAAUUCGAUGCAACGCGAAAAACCUUACCCACCUUUG
rnacentral:rRNA from 1 species